rnacentral:sRNA from 1 species
GCUGGAUAGGGUGGCACAUGCCUGUAAUCUCAGAGACUCGGGAGGCUGAGACAGGAGGAUCACAAGUUUGAGGCCACCCUGGGCAACUUGGUGAGACCCUGUCUCAA